GCAGUGAGGUCCUCGUCUUCGUCUCCUGAUAUGCACCGACAGAAUUUUCGACCCCCGACUCCUCCCUACCCCGGCUCGGGUGUAGGAGGUUGGGGUAGCGGGAGCAGCUUCCGGGGUACCCCGGGCGGAGGCGGACCGCGGCCGCCCUCCCCUCGGGACGGGUACGGGAGUCCGCAUCACACGCCGCCGUACGGGCCCCGGUCUAGGCCCUCCGGGAGCAGCCACUCUCCGCGACACGGCGGCAGCUUCCCGGGGGGCCGAUUCGGGUCUCCGUCCCCUGGCGGCUACCCUGGCUCCCACUGCAAGUCCCCCGCGGGGUCCCAGCAGCAUUUCGGCUACUCCCCAGGGCAGCAGCAGACCCACCCCCAGGGUUCUCCAAGGACAUCUACACCAUUUGGAUCAGGGCGUGGUAGAGAAAAAAGAAUGUCUAAUGAGUUGGAAAAUUAUUUCAAGCCUUCAAUGCUUGAAGACCCUUGGGCUGGCCUAGAACCAGUAUCUGUAGUGGAUAUUAACCAACAAUACAGCAAUACUCAAACAUUCACAGGCAAAAAAGGAAGAUACUUUUGUUAACAUUUCUGAAAUUCACCCAGAAGCUUCAUGUGUCAGGAACAUCUUGGACAAAACUUUUACCCAUGUAAUUAAGUUGAACCCUAAGAUGGUGACUUUGAAUAAUUAGUUGAGUCUUCUUGGUAUUUUUCAUCAUAUCAAGUAUUGUUGAUAUUAGAAAAGACAUACAGUAGAAUAACUUGCAAUAUUUAGCUCUUUGAAAGUGCCUACCACAUUUUAGAAGAUUUACAGUUUCCAGAUAUUUAAAGUUCAUGGUUAUAUAAUGGACAUUUGUCUUUCAAUGGUUUUCCAAUGUUUUAAAAUAAAACAUUUUGUCUUUCUA